UACGUAGGGUGCAAGCGUUGUCCGGAAUUAUUGGGCGUAAAGAGCUCGUAGGUGGUUUGUCGCGUUGUUCGUGAAAACUCACAGCUUAACUGUGGGCGUGCGGGCGAUACGGGCAGACUUGAGUACUGCAGGGGAGACUGGAAUUCCUGGUGUAGCGGUGGAAUGCGUAGAUAUCAAGAGGAACACCUGAGGUGAAGACGGGUUGCUGGGCUGACACUGACGCUGAGGCGCGAAAGCUAGGGUAGCAAACGGG
rnacentral:rRNA from 1 species